rnacentral:rRNA from 1 species
AUUGAACGCUGGCGGCAUGCCUUACACAUGCAAGUCGAACGGUCACACGCCGCAAGGUGCUGACGAGUGGCGACCGGGUGCGUAGUGCAUCGGCACGUGCACAGUCGUGGGGGAUCUCUGAUCGAUAGGGUAAACAAUACCGCAUACGAUCUAUGGUUGAAAACCGGGGACCUCAAUACUUAGAGACAUUUGUGCUGCCGAUGAUAGAUGAGGUAGUUGGUGGGGUAAAGGCUCACCAAGCCAACGAUUAGUAGCGGGUCUGAGAGGACGACCAGCCACACUGGGACUGAGACACGGCCCAGACUCCUACGGGAGGCAGCAGUGGGGAAUUUUGGACAAUGGGCGCAAGCCUGAUCCAGCAAUGCCGCGUGAAGGAAGAAGGCCUUCGGGUUGUAAACUUCUUUUGUACGGAACGAAACGGCUCUGGUGAAUACCCGGGGCUAAUGACGGUACCGUAAGAAUAAGCACCGGCUAACUACGUG